rnacentral:lncRNA from 1 species
UAAUCUCGAGAAAGUAUAUCAUAACUCAGCCGUAAUGUAGCAUAACUCAGCCGUAAUGUACCAUAACUCAGCUGUAAUGUAGCAUAACUCAGCCACAAUGCGGCAUAACUUAGACAAAAAGUUGAAAACGACGUUUCGUAUUUCCCUUUGGUUUUUUCGUCGGAAAACGAAAAGUCUCCAGCCGAGUUGAAACGAAAGGCGAUUGCAAUGACGACGAGAGAGAGAGAGACUCGUCGGUAUGAGUCGAAGCGGACGAAAGAGAUGAGAGAGAGAGAAGCGGCGAGAAUUAGGGUUCUUCGCCGGAAUCGCCGAGGUAGAGAUAUUUUUUCCU